rnacentral:rRNA from 1 species
CAAUAGCGUAUAUUAACGUUGUUGCAGUUAAAAAGCUCGUAGUUGGAUUUCUGGAGGGAGCGUCGGCCCGUAUUUACGAGUGCGUGACGUCUCUGUCCAUCCUUGCGGGAAGGCACGGCAUUGAUUUGUUGUGUCGGAUCGCAUCAUUUACUGUGAAAAAAUUAGAGUGUUCAAAGCAGGCUUUCGCUUGAAUACAUUAGCAUGGAAUAAUAAGAUAGGACUUUGGUGCUAUUUUGGUGGUUGAGCCUAAAGUAAUGAUUAAUAGGGAUAGUUGGGGGCACCUGUAUUGCGUUGUCAGAGGUGAAAUUCUUGGAUUUACGCAAGACAAACAGCUGCGAAAGCGUCUGCCAAGGAUGUUUUCAUUAA